AUUGAACGCUGGCGGCAUGCUUUACACAUGCAAAUCGAACGGCAGCGCGGGGCAACCUGGCGGCGAGUGGCGAACGGGUGAGUAAUAUAUCGGAACGUACCCAGAAGUGGGGGAUAACGUAGCGAAAGUUACGCUAAUACCGCAUACGAUCUACGGAUGAAAGUGGGGGACCUUCGGGCCUCAUGCUUGUGGAGCGGCCGAUAUCUGAGUAGCUAGUUGGUGAGGUAAAGGCUCACCAAGGCGACGAUCAGUAGCUGGGCUGAGAGGACGACCAGCCACACUGGAACUGAGACACGGUCCAGACUCCUACGGGAGGCAGCAGUGGGGAAUUUUGGACAAUGGGCGCAAGCCUGAUCCAGCAAUGCCGCGUGAGUGAAGAAGGCCUUCGGGUUGUAAAGCUCUUUUGUCAGGGAAGAAACGGUUCGGGCUAAUAUCCUGGGCUAAUGACGGUACCUGAAGAAUAAGCACCGGCUAACUACGUGCCAGCAGCCGCCGUAACAC
rnacentral:rRNA from 1 species